AUUGAACGCUGGCGGCAGGCCUAACACAUGCAAGUCGAGCGGAUGAAGGGAGCUUGCUCCUGGAUUCAGCGGCGGACGGGUGAGUAAUGCCUAGGAAUCUGCCUGGUAGUGGGGGAUAACGUCCGGAAACGGGCGCUAAUACCGCAUACGUCCUGAGGGAGAAAGUGGGGGAUCUUCGGACCUCACGCUAUCAGACGAGCCUAGGUCGGAUUAGCUAGUUGGUGGGGUAAAGGCCUACCAAGGCGACGAUCCGUAACUGGUCUGAGAGGAUGAUCAGUCACACUGGAACUGAGACACGGUCCAGACUCCUACGGGAGGCAGCAGUGGGGAAUAUUGGACAAUGGGCGAAAGCCUGAUCCAGCCAUGCCGCGUGUGUGAAGAAGGUCUUCGGAUUGUAAAGCCCUUUAAGUUGGGAGGAAGGGCAGUAAGUUAAUACCUUGCUGUUUUGACGUUACCAACAGAAUAAGCACCGGCUAACUUCGUG
rnacentral:rRNA from 1 species